rnacentral:rRNA from 1 species
UACGGAGGGGGCUAGCGUUGUUCGGAAUUACUGGGCGUAAAGGGCGCGUAGGCGGAUCUUUAAGUCGGGGGUGAAAGCCCAGGGCUCAACCCUGGAAUUGCCUUCGAUACUGAAGAUCUCGAGACCGGAAGAGGUAAGUGGAACUGCGAGUGUAGAGGUGAAAUUCGUAGAUAUUCGCAAGAACACCAGUGGCGAAGGCGGCUUACUGGUCCGGUUCUGACGCUGAGGCGCGAAAGCGUGGGGAGCAAACAGG